CUGGACAGAGACCCUCAGACACACAGGUGCUUGGGUAGGAAGCCAUCAGUGCCCCCAAAAAUUGUCCAGCAAAGACACAGAUGAGGUUGGGGCUAGGCUGAGUGCCUUUGGGCAUGUGUUGACAUACAGCUUUUUUGGGUUUUAUUUCAGGUGAAAUGAACUCUUAGGAAACCACUGAUGGAUUCAUCAAGAAGCCCUAAACCUUGGAAAAGCCAAGAGACCAGAGGUCUCACCUUAAAGGUAUCUGGUCCUUCGACCUCACCGUGACCCAGCUUCUUCAGGAGAACAUUCCAGAAGCAGAGCAAGGGGCUGUGAACGGUGUGCAAUGCUUCCUGAACCACCUCAUGGCCCUCCAUCCACUUCGUCUGGGUCAUGCUGGCUCUGCGGCCAUGGCAUUUCAGCGUCUCGUCUUCAUCUUCAUCCUAUUUGUAACCAUGGGGCACAUGCUGUAUUUUUUUUUUUUUAAUGCAAGAAAGUGUAAGAUUAGAAACGCCCAUGUUCAGAAGACAGCAAAGAAGGGAGCUUUAACCUGACAGAGAUGGAACAGAGGAGAUCAGAAAGAAUAGACAAUAAUGGCCACUCAUCCUGCUUCCAGUAUGAAGAUUCCCCUACAUCUAGCAUGGACAGAAGUGUUGACAGAGGGAGGAGUUUUGGCAGAACAACAGAAGUCAAGUACGGCAAUGGCAAAGAAAAAGCCAACUACUAAGCCUGUCUGUCUACCACAUUACUUUAUUGGCUUCCAAAUAAACCCAAUCCUAGGGGACAAAAGAUGUGAAUCCAUAUCAGAAGAGAGAGGCAGUUCUGGAUUCCUGAGGUGUGUAAAGCUUUGAUUCUGCCCCCUCUCUGUAAGGUCUGUUUUCACCAGUCCAUAGCCCUAGGCUUGGUCUUGGAGCUGGGUUCUUCAGGAUAGGCUUCCUGUACAUGAGCUCAUAUGGACUCAACCUGAGUUUCCUUUGGGGGCCAUUUGCAUUCUCAAAAGUGCUGUGGGGAGAAGGGAGAUCUAGGCUGAUGAAUGAACCACAGGAGAAUUCCUAAAUUUUUGCUGAGGGUUUGGUUUGUUCUACUUUUCCUGAGGAUUGUGGCCUCCAAGUAGCGUGUGAACCCCAUUUGAUUCGUAGAGCUCUAGAGUUUCUCUUAGUAAUUUGGGAAAAUAACAUGGGCCCGUUGUGACUCUGGAUGGAUAUAAGGAGCCUGAGCUGAAGAUUACUUCCUUGAGCAAGGCCUUAGACCUCCAAGCAGUCUCUGUUUGAGUGGGGAAUGCUCCAUUAGUUGGAGAAGGUGUCAAAACCAGCAUAGGAGUUCCCUGGUAGCCUCAUGGUUAAGGAUUAGGCAUUGUCACUGCUAUGGUUCGAGUUCAUUUCCCAGCCUGGGAACCUCUGUGUACCAUGAAUGUGGCCAAAAAACAAAACAAAACCAGGAUAUAUCUAAAAUUUAAUUGCCCCAGGGCAUUACUGUGAAAUCAGAUUGCCAGUCUUAACCUGCAUAUGUGCCUUUAUACUGGGUGGGGGUCACUCCCUUGGCCUUGGGUCGGGGGAGGUGUGUUGGGCUUAUUCCAGAGGCAGAUAGGGCAGCUUUUACCACCUGUUUAAGUAGACUGCAGAAAUUGGGAGUAGUCAUGGAUUGGAUAAGCUAUUGAUACAGGGCCUCCUGCCUAUAAAGUAUGCUCUAGUGAGUUUCCCAGAGAGCAAUGGCUGAUGGGAGAAUAGCUGCCCAUGACCAUUAACCAGCUACCUGGGUAUUAUGCCUUUUAAAACAACCCCACCUUUGAGUUUCCUGGUGGCCUAGUGGUUUAGGAUUUGGCAUUGUCACUGCUGUGGCUCAGAUUUGAUC
rnacentral:lncRNA from 1 species